CACGUAGGGCGCAAGCGUUGUCCGGAAUCAUUGGGCGUAAAGAGCGUGUAGGCGGUUGCUUAAGUUUGGUGUGAAAUCUCCCGGCUCAACUGGGAGGGUGCGCCGAAUACUGAGUGACUCGAGUGCGGGAGAGGAGAGUGGAAUUCCUGGUGUAGCGGUGAAAUGCGUAGAUAUCAGGAGGAACACCGGUGGUGUAGACGGCUCUCUGGACCGUAACUGACGCUGAGACACGAAAGCGUGGGUAGCAAACAGG
rnacentral:rRNA from 1 species